rnacentral:lncRNA from 1 species
AGCUUCCAGUCCUGGUUUUCAGUGACAGUAGUUUCCUUUCCCAGUCCCUGAGUGACUGUAGCUUCCCAGUGUUCUAAAAACUGUUAAGGUAUGGUUUGGGGUAAUUUUUUCUAGGUCCACGUGAGAGUCUGAAGGAACCACAAGCUGUCAUCCCCAGUGGGGGAAGUGGAUUUCUUUCUUCCAGUGCCGACUUCUUGGCUGAUGAAAUUGCUCUGGAUCUGAUCAGAUUCUGGGUGGACAGUGGCUUAGGCUAAGCCUCCGAC